rnacentral:rRNA from 1 species
AUUGAACGCUGGCGGCAGGCUUAACACAUGCAAGUCGAGCGAGAGGCGGAAGGGUGAGUAAUGACUGGGAAACUGCCUGAUGGAGGGGGAUAAGUAAUGGAAACGGAAGCUAAUACCGCAUACCAUCAGAUGUGCCCAGAUGGGAUUAGCUAGUGGGUGGGGUAAUGGCUCACCUAGGCGAGGAUCCCUAGCUGGUCUGAGAGGAUUACCAGCCCCACUGGAACUGGGACCCGGUCCAGACUCCUACGGGCGGCAGCCGUGGGGAAUAUUUCACAAUGGGCGCAAGCCUGAUGCAGCCAUGCCGCGUGUGUGACGACGGCCUUCGGGUUGUAAAGCACUUUCAGCUAGGCGGCGUUACUCGCCGAAAGAGCGCCGGCUGACUCCGUGCCAGCAGCCGCGGUAAUAC